UACAGAGGGUGCGAGCGUUGUCCGGAAUCACUGGGCGUAAAGGGCGCGUAGGUGGCGGCCCAAGUCCGUGGUGAAAGCUCGCCGCUUAACGGCGAGUCGGCCACGGAGACUGGGUGGCUCGAGCACUGUAGGGGCAGAUGGAAUUCCGGGUGUAGCGGUGGAAUGCGUAGAGAUCGGGAAGAACAUCGGUGGCGAAGGCGGCCAGCUGGGCCAUUGCUGACGCUGAUGCGCGACAGCGUGGGGAGCAAACAGG
rnacentral:rRNA from 1 species